GAUGAACGCUGGCGGCGUGCCUAAUACAUGCAAGUCGAACGAAGCCUUCGGGCUUAGUGGCGGACGGGUGAGUAACACGUUGGUACCUGCCUCGAAGUGGGGAAUAACUGGCCGAAAGGUCGGCUAAUACCGCAUGUGAUCGCAAGAUCAAAGUCGUAAGACGCUUCGAGAGGGGCCUGCGUCCCAUUAGCUAGUUGGUAGGGUAAUGGCCUACCAAGGCGACGAUGGGUAGCUGGAUCGAGAGGUUGACCAGCCACACUGGGACUGAGAUACGGCCCAGACUCCUACGGGAGGCAGCAGUAAGGAAUCUUCCACAAUGGACGAAAGUCUGAUGGAGCAACGCCGCGUGCAGGAUGACGGCCUUCGGGUUGUAAACCGCCUCUAUAUGGGAAGAUUAUGACGGUACCAUAUGAAUAAGGACCGGCUAACUACGUGCCAGCCGCCGCCGUAA
rnacentral:rRNA from 1 species